rnacentral:rRNA from 1 species
CCUACGGGCGGCACCAGUGGGGAAUAUUGGACAAUGGGCGCAAGCCUGAUCCAGCCAUGCCGCGUGAGUGAAGAAGGCCUUAGGGUUGUAAAGCACUUUCAGUAGGGAGGAAGGUAGUGUAGUUAACACCUGCAUUAUUUGACGUUACCUACAGAAGAAGCACCGGCUAACUCCGUGCCAGCAGCCGCGGUAAUACGGAGGGUGCGAGCGUUAAUCGGAAUUACUGGGCGUAAAGCGCAUGCAGGCGGCCUGUUAAGUCAGAUGUGAAAGCCCGGGGCUUAACCUCGGAAUUGCAUUUGAAACUGGCAGGCUAGAGUCUUGUAGAGGGGGGUAGAAUUUCAGGUGUAGCGGUGAAAUGCGUAGAGAUCUGAAGGAAUACCAGUGGCGAAGGCGGCCCCCUGGACAAAGACUGACGCUCAGAUGCGAAAGCGUGGGGAGCA